UACGUAGGGUGCGAGCGUUGUUCGGAAUUACUGGGCGUAAAGGGCUCGUAGGCGGCCAACUAAGUCAGACGUGAAAUCCCUCAGCUUAACUGGGGAACUGCGUCUGAUACUGGAUGGCUUGAGUUCGGGAGAGGGAUGCGGAAUUCCAGGUGUAGCGGUGAAAUGCGUAGAUAUCUGGAGGAACACCGGUGGCGAAGGCGGCAUCCUGGACCGACACUGACGCUGAGGAGCGAAAGCCAGGGGAGCAAACGGG
rnacentral:rRNA from 1 species